UGAUUGGUCAGGGCAAUAUUGUCCCCAUAUCUGCCGAACUCUGUCUCACUUUUUCCAGGAAAUACUUUAUUAUGCUCAGGUGGAACACAGCUGUCUGUAGCAAAUCUGUCAACAUGGCAGGUAGAAAAAAAAGGUUUCUGAAGGACCACAGAAAGGAAUUUAUACAAAAGACAAGAGAACCCACUCAGUUGGCAGAUGAGAUAUUAGACAAAAAAUGUAUUGGAAAAGAAACGUAUGAUACUAUCUUAAGCAAGAGAACCAAGCAAAAACAAACCCGUGAAAUCUUUAACUGUCUCAAUAGCCAAGCUCACUUUGAAUGUGCUUAUGAUUGGCUAAAGGAGAAUGAGGCAGCUCUGUUAGAAGAACUGGAGAACAGGGACUCUGAGGCUGCAGCACCACAGGAAAAACGUGCCAGACUCAAAAAUGUGGAUGAAACAGAUAAUAUUACAGAAGUUCCUGAUCUCAAGCAGAUAUCCACCUUUGCCAAACUGGAAGACUGGGUCUCUGACCCCAACAUCAGCCAAAACCUGUUGCAUGACUUUGAGGAAAAGCUAACUAAUGAGAGCAUGGCGGAGUUGAAAAAAGAAUUGAAAGACAAAGAACCAAAAAAAAGCUUAUGCUUUAAUGCUGACAAUAUUGAUGAAAUCAGGAAAAAUAAGGAACUUGACACAUUUCUCUAUACAACAAAGGAUGCAAAAUUUCCUAAACUCGCACUUAAAAUGUUUUUUAAAAAAUGUGGUGCUGCAUCAUCAGGAAAUGAAGCUCAAAGCUCCACUGAUCAUGAAGAGACCAUGGACACAAUUACAGAUUUAGGAAGCAGUGGAUAUGGAUCGUUAAGCUCAAGUCUUAAUAAUAGCUAUAGUUCACACAAUAUUGACUGUUUAAGACAAAACAAUAAAAGCUUACCAGAUGAAGAUCCCCUCAUUGUGUGCAGUCCCACUGGAGACAAGGCUAUUAAGAUUCAUGAGAAUAAAGACAAGGAGAUUGAGUCUAAAACCACUGAACAGCACCAUGGGGGAUCAUUUAUCCUAUUACACCAUGAGGCCAAAUCUGAUGCAUCAUCACAGGAGCCUAUGGAGAGUCAGGAUAUUCACAUUGAUGAGAUGGAAGAGCAGUCUCAAACAUCAGACUCGGUGAAAAGGCAUGAAGAUGUGUGUCUGCAAAAAUCUGAACAAUUUACCAAAAAAGAAAGACCACAAGAAGAUGGACUUGGAAGGAUGGAGAUGCAGGAAACACACAUUAGAGAGACGGAUGAUGAACCUCAACGAUCAUAUGAGCCAAAUGACCCAAAGUAUGACGAUGUCUUCCUGCACCAAAAUGAACAAUUCACCAAGAAAGAAACACAACUAGAAGAUGGAAGAACAGACAUGGAGGAUACACACAUCAGAAAGACAGAUGAGGAACCUCAAAGAUCAUAUGGACCAAAUGACACAUGGCGUGAAGAUGCGUCUGUGAGGCGAAAUGAGUCAGCCAGGAGUGGAAAUAUGAUCAUGCAGCAAAAUGAGCAAGAAAACAUGCAGCUUGGCUCUGAGAAUAAAGACAAGGAGAUUGAGUCUAAAACCACUGAACAGCACCAUGGGGGAUCAUUUAUCCUAUUACACCAUGAGGCCAAAUCUGAUGCAUCAUCACAGGAGCCUAUGGAGAGUCAGGAUAUUCACAUUGAUGAGAUGGAAGAGCAGUCUCAAACAUCAGACUCGGUGAAAAGGCAUGAAGAUGUGUGUCUGCAAAAAUCUGAACAAUUUGCCAAAAAAGUAAGACCACAAGAAGAUGGACUUGGAAGGAUGGAGAUGCAGGAAACACACAUUAGAGAGACAGAUGAUGAACCUCAACGAUCAUAUGAGCCAAAUGACCCAAGGUAUGAAAGGCAGAAAAAUGAACAAUUCACCAAAAAAGAAACACAACUAGAAUAUGGAAGAACAGACAUGGAGGAUACACACAUCAGAACGACAGAUGAGGAACCUCAAAGAUCAUAUGGACCAAAUGACACAAGGCACAAAUAUGCGUCUGUGAGGCGACAUGAGUCAGCCACAUGUGGAGAAAUGAUCAUGCAGCAAAAUGAAAACAUGCAGCUUGACCCUGAGAAUAAAGACAAUGAGAUUGAGUCUAAAACCACUGAACAGCACCAUGGGGGAUCAUUUAUCCAAUUGCACUAUGAGGCCAAAUCUGAUGCAUCAUCACAGGAGCCUAUGGAGAGUCAGGAUAUUCACAAUGAUGAGAUGGAAGAGCAGUCUCAAACAUCAGACUCGGUGAAAAGGCAUGAAGAUGUGUGUCUGCAAAAAUCUGAACAAUUUACCAAAAAAGAAAGACCACAAGAAGAUGGACUUGGAAGGAUGGAGAUGCAGGAAACACACAUUAGAGAGACGGAUGAUGAACCUCAACGAUCAUAUGAGCCAAAUGACCCAAAGUAUGACGAUGUCUUCCUGCACCAAAAUGAACAAUUCACCAAGAAAGAAACACAACUAGAAGAUGGAAGAACAGACAUGGAGGAUACACACAUCAGAAAGACAGAUGAGGAACCUCAAAGAUCAUAUGGACCAAAUGACACAAGGCACAAAUAUGCGUCUGUGAGGCGACAUGAGUCAGCCACAUGUGGAGAAAUGAUCAUGCAACAAAAUGUGCAAGAAAAUAUGCAGCUUGACCCUGAGCCUUUUUAUCAAAAGCAACAGCAGGAGAGCAAUGCAGGCUCAGUAGCAGAGAGUACACAAAGCAAUGGAACAGAGAUCUUGGCACAAAAUGCUAACACAGCUAUAAUAGCUUCAAAAGGAAGUUUGAAGUUUCAGCUUAAAGCUACAAAAAAGAGGGAAACAUCAAAAUACCAGAAGGAAAAGAAGAAAGAAGAGAAGGAUAGACUACUUAAGUGGGCAAAGAGACAAUGUAAUGGCUCUAAAGAAGAGUUAGAACAGAUAUUUGACCAGAUCUCAAUAAAAAACCUGGUAGAACAUGCUGAUUAUCCAUGUUUUACUGCUGAAAAUGUCAUGGUGUAUAAAAACUUAACUGCUGAGAGCCAAAUUAUCUUUAUCACUAAUGAUAAUAAUUCCAUCAGCACUAUGACUAAGGUCAAUUAUCAAAUGUUUGUUUGUAACAUUAGUAAAGCAAUAAUCCUAGGUCCUAAAGAACCUACUGAAAAAAUGAUUGAAUAUGCUGAGGACAAGGUGAAUAUAGAUAAGUGUACAAACUUUGUUUUCAAAGUGUUUGCUCCAGUUCUUGCAGAGUUCAAAAAGAUUCAGAAGCAAGAAAAAUUGUACUCUCUCAUUGUACAGUAAAAAUCCAGAAAUUUGUAAUGGAACACUGUGUCUACAAUAAAUAUCUAUGAAUGAAAAGGAAACCAUUCUCAAACUGAGAAAAUAAAGAGAAACUAUCAAAGACAAUCCUCAAGCAUCUGGCAUAGCCAAUACAACAAUUUGAAAUAUCCAGAAAGAGAAAAAUCACUAGUAUACUGAGCAACAGACACAAUAUUAGUCAGUCAAAGUAAACAACAGCUGGUGACAGAUUUUGAGAAAGCUGUGAAGAAAAACCACAAAAGUCAGUACAACAUCAACAGCCUUCACAGGGCAGGGGUAAAGAUUGGUGACGUAGGAAUAUACAAAUAAUGAGAGGCUUAAAAUUAACAAAGUAAGGAAACUGAAUGGAUAGUUUGCAGUUCGGCUGAACCUAAACAUGGUUUAUAGAACUUUGUGGUGAGUUUGAGACAACUGGCUACAGGUAAGGUGUAAUCAAAUGUGACUGUGAACACUGAAGUGGGAAUUGGAGUCCAGUUUGUCCAUGUUUGUAGCCCACAGUGGUCUGGGAUGCAUCCAUGGGAUAGUGAUAUCCUGUCAGAACAGCAAUACUGAAGAAGAUGCAGGUGCAUGCAUUUUAAAACAGUACUUGACCUGACACAAGGAAGGGAUUUGAAAUCUGAUAUUUAAAUUUAAAUACUUAAAUUUACUUCGUUUACUCCACUUUCAAAUCCACCUGUCCUUAUUUUUGCUUGCCAAAAAUUGUGCUAAAACUGAUAUAAAAUGUUCUAUAUAUUGUUUUGUCUAACACACACAGAUAUAAAUACCAGGAAAUAAAAGUCUCACAUAUAUACAAAAAUUAUUUGAUUUCAAAUGAAUGAUUGUAUUGGCCUUGCUGUUUCAAUAUUUUUCAAGUAGACAUUACUGAAGUUGAAGGAGUUGGCUGCUGCAAUUAUGGCAGCAGAUCAGACAACCAUAAUGAACUAUCUGUUCAGAUACCUGCUCAAACAACAGCAGGCAGUGACGCAGGAACUGGUCCAGGGGCUCCGCACUACCACAGAAGAGUUGCUGGCACUCCAUGGCAGUUCUGCAGGCAUAAUGGGCUGAUGGAUAAGGGCAAGGAAUUGCACUUUGUGGCAGCCAAUCCUUCUAUUGGCCGUUUUAUGGCAACUAUGGUUAUCACAGAGGAUUAAGAAGAAUGAUAAAUCCUUCCUACUGAAUGUCAGGAUUUCACCUCCUGGCCUGUUUGCUGAUGCAGUUAGCAUUGUCAUCAACAUGUAUCAUGAACCGAAGCAACAGUUUGCAUGUUCAAAGAGCCGACCCCUCACUGCAUCUGAGAGCUGAGGGCUUCCAUCAGUUAUUCUCAGCUGGGGCCUAGCUCCCACAGGGAGGAGCAGAAGACCAGUUUUGGUGCUGGUACCCCUCAUUGGAAAGAUGGGGAGCUGAGCAACACAUACAAAGCAAGCCAUGUAAGGAGAUUUCUGAUCUGAGGACUGUGAUCUUCAUGAGAAUGGCUAAAAAGAAGACUUGAUGCUUGUUUAUGCAGGUCCCACUUGGUAUGGGUCUUAGUACACCAUUACAUUGUAUAUUUAGUCCCCCUCAGAGUCCACAGGAUGUGUGCCUACCAAUCCCCCUCUCUAGCCAGUUCAGCUGGUACCUGCCAGUAUGCUCUUUCAGGACCCCGAAUAGACCAAUUCUAUCAAAAAUAUGAUUCCUCUUUCAGAGCAUUUGGCAGUGUGGCAGCUUCUGCCUAAUAUAGCUCACUGGGGAUUUAAUACUAUAAAGAAUAGUUACAGAAUUAAUUUCACCUUUCAUUGCCUUUGAUUCAAAGGUGUUACCCACCAUGGUAUACACAGAACAAAUUCCUUCUUCAGAACUAUCAGUCUCUCAUGGGCAAAGUGAUCAUAGAAAAUGUGGCCCUCCAUGAAAAGGGGUCAGGCUUUUACAGCUGGCAUUUCUUAGUACCCAGAAGGAAUGGGAGACUACAUUUAAUUUUAGAUCUGCACUGACUGAACCAUACUCUUUGGACAUACAGGUUAAAGAUGCUUACACUUAAACUUCAAUCAAUUCACAAAUUUGUAUUAGUUUGUCAUGAUAGACCAAAAGGACACAUACUUCCACAUCAUGAUUCGACCAGAACACAGCAAGGUAAUCAGGUUUUCUUUUGCUGGUGAAGCUUACCAGUGUCAAGUUCUAAAAUUCUAGUGAUGAGUUUUAAAACAACAGUUUAGUAUCUUAUGUUUGUGUUUUCAUAAAGAAAACAGUGACCUUGUGUCUCAAUCAAAUGCACAGGUGAUUCUAUAUGAAGAGAAUUUCUUAUGUAUAAGCAAGUGUAAAAGUUUUAUUUUCGAAGCAUUUGAAACUCUAGUUAUCAAAAACACAAGCUCUGCUCUCUCAUCUGUGAGUCAAAUCCAGAUAAACACUCUCCUGAGAAACACUCUGUAUCUUUAAAAAUAUAAUUCAAAGGUAUAUUAAAAAAAGUCUGUCUCUCUUCUACCAUCGACAUUUGUGACCAUUUAUUGUUUUUAUUAUUUUUUUAUUUUUUUUAAAUAAAUGUUGUUGGUUAUGCAGUCAAUCAGGUUUGAACCCAUACUGAAAUAUUUAUUAUAAUGAUGAGGAAAAACAAUGUUACUCCACUAGGGGGCUGUAAACUCAUAUACUGACAAUGUGUUAAUGUGGGGUUCAAGAACGGGUGAAAUUAUGAAAACUUUUAUACAAUUUUUAUUUUUAUUUUGAGGAAGUUGUGUUUGAAGCUCUGUGUGCACACACGGCUGGAUAGGAUGAAGGGAUGAAGUGAAUAUGCGUGAUGAAGGGAAUAUGUGCCAGUAAGUCUAUAUAAGGGCAUCACAUUACUCCAGCUUCUACUUGUAUGAAGGAAUGCCCGGGGUGUGAUAAGAGACACAGUGUCUUGUUCCCUUCUCAGGGAACCAGGUGUUAUAUGUGACCUGGUGUAUUUCCCUAUUGAGGGAACUUAACCCUGCAUCAUGACGCUAUGGGAAUGUCAAUAGCCAUGCUGCCACAUGUCAGUGUCUGUCCCAGACACUUUAAGGGGAACACUUCUGGCCAAGGCAAUGGGUGAGGUGAUACCCCUAGUAGAGUGAGCUCUAACACUUAGAGGCGUGGCAAUAUCACACACCUCAUAGGCCUGGGUAAUGGCCUCUACUACCCAGUGUACCAAGCGCUGCUUGGAGACGAGAUUGCCCUUGUUCUGGCUCCCAAAGCAGACAAACAGGCAGGAGGACUUAUGCCAUGAGCUCAGGCAGUGGACAUACGUUAUCAGGGCCUUAGACAGCCUCUCCUGUUCUGGCUACUCAUGGGGCGGAGGACAGAAGGCAUGCAAGAUGACUGAACAACUGGCCAUCCUGGCACCUUGGGGAUAUACCCCACCCUGGGGAGCAGGAUAGCCAUGGACAUGCCAGGGGCAAAUUCUAAGAGCCUGCAGAUCUCCUACCCUUCGAAGGAAGGCCAAGACUAAGUGCAGAAGUCAGUAGUCACAUACACUUUUAAAGUAGAGGGGGACAGCCCCCAAAUAAGGUGUGACUACAACAUUACAAGCACUGUACCAACCGGGCAGUGACCUGGGUCCUGACCAUGCUGACCACACCAGAGGCAAAAAAGCCUCCACUUCAGACCAUAGAGCUUUCUAGUGGAGGGGAGUCCUAGCAUUCAACAGAGUCUGCACUACCUGCAUUACUAGGUGGUUGUCCUGCAUCUUCAAUAAACAAGCUACAGUCCAGAAUGCAGCCGCCAGAGUUCUUAGCAGAUCAAGAAAAUAUGAUCAUAUAACCCCAGUAUUAUCAUCCCUGCACUGGCUACCUGUCAAGUUUAGAACUGAUUACAAACUGGCACUACUUACCUACAAGACUCUAAAUGUUUUAGCUCCCACGUAGCUAACCAGUCUUCUGACACACUACAAUCCACCACACUAUCUAAGAUCACAAAACUCAGGACUUAUGGUAGUUCUCAGAAUUAAAGUCUAUAAAAGGGGGUAGAGCGUUUUCGUAUUUAUCCUGAGGCAUCCAGAGAUGGACCAACUUCAGCUGGAUUCUGCUUCAUAAGGAUUUGGGUUUAUCAAAGCAAUGCUGCCAGCCCUAUGUGGACUUUGAGGAUGACAACAACCUCCUAAGUAAUACACACACUAACAUUAUACAUCACACUGUAGACUGUACAUAACUGCAGAAAGGACAUUGUUCAUAUCACACUCUUCUGUGUUUAGAAUGAUUUAUAAUCACACUCUCCGCUGUCACCCAGAUGAAGAUGGGUUCCCAUAUGAGUCUGGUUCCUCUCAAGGUUUCUUCCUCAUACCAUCUAAGGGAGUUUUUCCUUGCCACAGUUGCCAGAGGCUUGCUCACUAGGGAUGAUUUUGUCUAACAUCUAGGACUUUUUACCCUAUGUUUUUUUGUUUCCUACUGUAUGUUCUGUAAAGCUGCACAAUGUUCAUUGUUA